UGAUUUCCCUCUUUUUUUUAGGCAAACGAACAGGCCCUAAGCGGAAAUUUCCUAUUUCUCUCCCGACUUCAUCUUCAUUCUGGGUUUGUUCUUUUCUACGGACGAUCAAACCCAAAAGUUGGAUUGGUUUGUGGGCAAAGUGACCACUUCCGGCGAUACCCACGAACAAGAUUGGCCGGAGAUUAUCAAACGUCAACGGAGAUGCCGACGGUGGCCGUGAAGAGGUUUUGGAGGUGAUUUUCUCUCUCUAGUUGCUCUGCUCUGGAACUGUUUGAUGAGUUUCAAGUUUGCGUCACAAGAAAAGGCUAUUCCGGAAGUUAGUCGUAGGCCUUCCUUUUCUUAAUCAGACCUGUUUCAGGGUGUUUCUAGUUUAAAGCAUUAGAUUUGGUUUAAAUAAAUGAAUAAAGAAAAAGUAAUCAGAAAGUUCUUUUUAACA